rnacentral:rRNA from 1 species
CCCAGACUCCUACGGGAGGCAGCAGUGGGGGAUAUUGCACAAUGGGGGAAACCCUGAUGCAGCGACGCCGCGUGAGUGAAGAAGUAUUUCGGUAUGUAAAGCUCUAUCAGCAGGGAAGAAAAAAGACGGUACCUGACUAAGAAGCCCCGGCUAACUACGUGCCAGCAGCCGCGGUAAUACGUAGGGGGCAAGCGUUAUCCGGAUUUACUGGGUGUAAAGGGAGCGUAGACGGCAAUACAAGUCGGAAGUGAAAUACCCGGGCUUAACCUGGGAACUGCUUUGGAAACUGUAUGGCUGGAGUGCUGGAGAGGUAAGCGGAAUUCCUAGUGUAGCGGUGAAAUGCGUAGAUAUUAGGAGGAACACCAGUGGCGAAGGCGGCUUACUGGACAGUAACUGACGUUGAGGCUCGAAAGCGUGGGGAGCAAACAGGAUUAGAUACCCCAGUAA